GACGAACGCUGGCGGCGUGCUUAACACAUGCAAGUCGAACGGAAAGGCCUGUCUGUUGUGGGGUGCUCGAGUGGCGAUCGUGUGAGUAACACGUGUGUAACCUGCCCUGUACGUGGGGAUAUCUGUAGGAAACUGGGGCUAAUACCGGAUAGGAGCUCUGGUGGCAUGGUGGGGGUUGGAACGUUUCUGCGUUUGUUUGUGGACUCGUGUGUUUGCAGCUUGUUGGUGGGGGUGUGGCUUACCAAGGCUUUGACGGGUAGCCGGCCUGAGAGGGUGACCGGCCACAUUGGGACUGAGAUACCACCCAGACUCCACACGGAGGCAGCAGUGGGGAAUAUGGCACAAUGGGCGGAGGCCUGAUGCAGCACAGCCGCGUGCGGGAUGACGGCCUUCGGGUAGUAACAAAAAAUCGCCUGUGACGAAGCGUGAGUGACGGUAAUGGGUAAAGAAGCACCGGCUAACUACGUG
rnacentral:rRNA from 1 species